GGGUGGUUAGCGCAGUGGUAGCGCAUUGGUCUUCGAAUCCAAGGGUCGUGGGUUCAAACCCCACACUGCUCG